rnacentral:rRNA from 1 species
GACGAACGCUGGCGGCGUGCUUAACACAUGCAAGUCGAACGAAGUGGCGAACGGGUGAGUAACGCGUAAUCCACCUGCCCUUCCGAGGGGGACAACAGUUGGAAACGACUGCUAAUACCGCAUACGGAAGGAGGGGAUGGCGUCUGAUUAGCUAGUUGGAGGGUUAACGGCCCACCAAGGCGAUGAUCAGUAGCCGGUCGGAGAGGGUGAACGGCCAAAUGGGGACUGAGCCACGGCACAGACUCCUAAGGGAGGCAGCAGUGUGGAAUCUUCCGCAAUGGAGGAAAGUCUGACGGAGCAACGCCGCGUGAGUGAUGACGGCCUUCGGGUUGGAAAGGUCUGUUAAUCGGGACGCGGUACCGGAAUAGAAAGCCACGGCUAACUACGUGCCAGCAGCCGCGGUAAUAC